GGCUUAUAUUAUUGUACUGCAUGCACAUUCUUAUAUGCUGUUUAUAUUUCACAUAAAUAGCGUAUAUUAUAAAAACAAGAUUUUUCACAUAAUAAUUGAUCGCUCAUACAUUACUUAUUAAAUCCAAAUGAAAAUAAUUCUAAAUAAUGGAAUGCCUAUAUGUACAACGUUACGACAAGAAAGAGUUAGAAAUUAUUGUUUACGAUAUUUUUUAUAAAAAUAAAUAUUCCUAUCAAUAGUAUUAAUUUGACUUGAUUAUACAUACAUAUAUAUUAUUAUAUAUUAUUGUAUAGGUUUAUUUAUUUAAUUUGUCAAUAUUUUUUUGCAUUUCAAUCGAUUUAUUAAAUCCUCAGUUAUAACAACUUCAUCAUCUGCCAUCUGUUGUUAGAUAAUAUGAAUUACUAGAAAUGAAUUUCGUUUGAUGUCGCUAAUGUCAUUUUCCUCUUUUUUUUUUUCAAUAUAUGUUUAACUCGUAAGCUAACUCUAAAUAUUACGUGAAAUUGUGGAUAGAAACAUUGGAGAAUUACGUGUGAGAUGGUCAAAGUACAAAUUUAAAAAACGACCGUUAUUUAUCGAAGAUGAGUUGUAAUAAGGAUCGAGACAAUGAUAACUUGUUGAAGAAGCUAAGAAGAAGCGAAGAAAACGAGGUUGCAAAAUGUAAAAGUAGCGCGGACAAUAAUGAAGGGCACAAAUUACGACAAGGAACCGAUAGUUUCCCAAAUAUUAAUGAAAGACCAGUCGAUGAUAUAUCUAUUAAAUUCUUUUACAAACCACACACUAUCACGCUUCUUCUUAUUUCAAUAGCUGCUGUAAUUUAUUCAGCUUUUACAAGGAAUACCAACAAUGUGGAGGACAACAUGUGGGCUGGCAUGUUGUGCGUUAUCUUUUUCUUCCUUAUUAUAUCAGUGCUUACAUUUCCAAAUGGACCAUUUACAAGACCACAUCCAGUUGUUUGGAGAAUCGUUUUUGGUUGCAGUGUACUUUAUUUGAUGGGUUUACUCUUUAUGUUAUUUCAAAAUUAUGAUACUGUUAGGAAAAUUCUUGUAUGGGUGGAUCCAGGUUUAGCAUCUUUCCACAUAGAUAUGGAUAAGGAAUAUGGUGUUAAUUGCUCAGAUGUUACAAUAGAAAAAAUAUGGAAUCACUUGGAUGUGUUUGCACUUGCUCACUUUUUAGGCUGGGCCUUUAAAGCUAUUCUUAUACGUCAUCUUGGUAUUCUUUGGGCUAUUAGCGUUAUGUGGGAAGUAACAGAAAUAGCAUUCGCGCAUUUAUUACCGAACUUUAUUGAAUGUUGGUGGGAUGCUUUUAUACUUGAUGUUUUGGUAUGUAAUGGUCUUGGCAUUUGGGUUGGAUUAAAGAUAUGUUCUAUUUUGGAAAUGAGAGAGUAUAAAUGGGUCAGUAUAAGGGACAUAGAAAGUACUACUGGGAAAUUAAAAAGAGCAGUUCUUCAAUUUACUCCUGGUAGUUGGACUUCCGUAAGAUGGUUAGAUCCAACGUGCACUCAUAUGCGAUUUGUAGCUCUUUGCCAGCUAGUUAUUUUCUGGCAAGUUUCUGAGCUGAAUACAUUCUUCCUGAAACAUGUAUAUGAAUUCCCACCUUCUCAUCCAUUCGUCAUAACACGUUUGGUAUUGAUUGGAGUGAUCGUUGCUCCAUCAGUUAGGCAAUAUUAUAUGUAUGUAACUGAUCCAUCAUGCAGUAGAGUAGGGACUCAGUGUUGGGUAUAUGGUGCCAUUAUGGUAACGGAAGCAUUACUUUGUAUCCGUCAUGGUGCAGCACUGUUUGAACGGACACAAGCCUUAAACAUACUUCUUUGGCUUCUUUGUCAGUCUCUAGUUUCUGUGUUAUGCGUCUAUGGCUGUGUUUUGUGGCAUCAGUACUUUGAGACGGAUAAGAAAACCGUUAAAAAGCAGUCUGUGAUCAAACUACACGAGAGCCGCUUGGAUGUAACUUGUAGUGGGGAUAUGGCACACCACGCACAAUCUGUGGAUUCGAUGGAUAAAAAAGAACAGUAAGACGGUACCUUGUAAUAAUUAACCAAAUUAAUGGUUAAUUUAUCAUACUAUGCAACUUUCUAGUCGUUCUGAAGCGUACGAAUGAAUUUGUAAGCUUAGCAAAAUAGGACUGGAUAUAUUUGGAAGAGAUUUCGAUAUCUUCUGAUUCUUUGAGGUAUGGAAAGACAUCACAAGUAAUACUGGGGACAAUUUGUGAUCCUUUAGAACAAUUCCAUGUUUCGCCCAGUAAGUUAUUGUUAGAUGCAGAAACGAAGACACGAAUACGGCUAGGUAAUUCUUCAUUUUCAUGAAGAGAGAUAUAAGAUGUUGUCAAUAACGAUUUCGUACAAUACAUCUGUAAAAUCCAUUAUAAAUAUUUUUGGAUUUCAGAGAAUAUUGCUGUUAUUGCAGCUUUAUUUUGAGAAAAAGAUAAUAAUUAGCAAUAAUUUAAAUUUAACUGUGAAAAGGUACCUGAGCAUAAGUAAGGUAGAAUAAUUGAUUUAUGUUUGGUUCUAGCCACGGAAGAUAAUUCUUUGAAAACGAUCGUAGCCUUUCAAAAGUAUCAUGUGUUAAUCUAAGUCCCAUGAUUUCGGAGAAAUAUUCGUUUAAUGUUAAUUCUGAAAUCUAAAGUAGAUUUAUAUGAGACCAGUAUUUAAAAAAAUAAUAUGUGUGCCAUGCGAUCUGUGGUGGUAGUUAUAUAUUACCUUAAAAGAUAUUUUCUGAGAAGUAAGUGGCAGUGUCAUGUUCAUCUUUUCUUUGUAAAUACUAUCUUUAUGGCAGGAUAUAUAAUCUUCAAACAUUGUAUGCUUGCUUACCAGAGAACAGGUAGUGUUUCGAGUUUGAUUCCAAUAGUGCAUACCUUGGGUAUAACAAAUGCUGCCAUUAUUUAAUAAUAAAAAAAAUGUCUCAA